AAAACUUUCAACAACGGAUCUCUUGGUUCUGGCAUCGAUGAAGAACGCAGCGAAAUGCGAUAAGUAGUGUGAAUUGCAGAAUUCAGUGAAUCAUCGAAUCUUUGAACGCACAUUGCGCCCUCUGGUAUUCCGGAGGGCAUGCCUGUUCGAGCGUCAUU
rnacentral:rRNA from 1 species